rfam:Thermocrinis albus DSM 14484, complete genome.
GCCGGAGUGGCGGAAUUGGCAGACGCGCUGUCUUGAGGGGGCAGUGCCCGAAAGGGCGUGCGGGUUCGACUCCCGCCUCCGGCA